CGGGCCGUAGCGCAGUGGUCGUCGCGCCGCACUGCUAAUGCGGAGGACGCCGGUUCGACUCCGGCCGGCCCGC
rnacentral:tRNA from 1 species